CAUGAUUGCUUCACCAAAAACUUACUCUCAUGAACAUCUUUUUUAUAAAAAUCAAUGUUUAUGAAAUUUAUUACAUAUCCUAAGUCCUCAGGGAACAAAGAUCGAAUGAAGUAAUUAAGAAAAACAAAUAAAACAAUCACUGAAAAAACAAAAAAUGGAGGAAUGUUAGAAUUGAAAAAUACAAAAUUAAUUUCAACAAAAAAAAAAAAGCUCCACAAUUUGUCAAAAAAUGAAAGCAUAGACAAAAGUGAUUAAGCGGUGCGGCACAUGUGAAUGUGAAGAGAAGAGCUAUAGGGAUUCCUGCCUCUGCAUUCUGAUCUGCUGGUAGAAACUCUCAAUGAACCGCUCAGCCUUCUCAUCCACCGAUUCUUCUUCGCCUUCAUCCUCUGCUCCUAUGAACCCAUCUUCAAUUUGGAAGUUCCCAUUUGGCAGACCCUCCGCCAGCUGGCAUUCCCCUUCCUUCACUUCAUUCCCAGCACUACCAAUCAGAGACCCAACUUCGUGCUCUGUUCUUGAACUUCUUUCGAUGUACGAUGAUGAGAGAGUGCUCGAAGCGAGACUGGUACUCUCCAUAGUCAUAGUGCCUCAGGAGCUUCAACUCCUGGCGCUUCACGAGUUUCUUGAGGAAAAGGAAGAGUCUUGGGAGAUGGAGUGAUAUUUUUCUGGGCAUUUUUGGGAGUGAGACAUUUGCAAUUGCAAUUGUGAAGAGUUGAAGAGAGUUCUUUAAGGUGGGAGAUCGGAGCCAAGCUGUAAAAGGCGUGGUCGGUUCUAUUGAAGGAAUGUGCAAAACUAGCCGUUGAAGCUCUCGUGCUCGUGUCGUGGGUACCCUUUCC
rnacentral:lncRNA from 1 species